rnacentral:rRNA from 1 species
UGGGGAUGACGUCAAAUCAUCAUGCCCUUAUGGCCUAGGCUACAAACGUAAUACAAUGGCGUAUACAAAGGGAUGCGAAAGGGCGACCUGGAGCAAAACUACACAAAGUACGUCUCAGUUCAGAUUGGAGUCUGCAACUCGACUCCAUGAAGGCGGAAUCGCUAGUAAUCGCGGAUCAGCAUGCCGCGGUGAAUACGUUCUCGGGGUUU